rnacentral:lncRNA from 1 species
UUAUUAUAUACAUAUACAUGUAGCUUACUUUCAAUGUAAAAAUUACCAUGACUUGUUGAACCUCAAAUGGCAAUCAGCCUAAAGCUACCCUAAAAGUGGCAACUUUUUGUGUAUUUUUACGAAAAGUUUGAACUCAAUUUUACCUAUAAAAAAGAAGAUGCGGUAUGAUUGUCAAUGAGACAACUGUCCACAAGAGACCAAAAUGACCCAGACAUUAACAACUAUAGGUCACCGUACGGCCUUCAACAAUGAGCUAAGCCCAUACCGAAUAGUCAGCUUUAAAAGGCCCCGAUAUGACAAUUUAAAACAAUUCAAACGAGAAAACUAACGGCCUUGAAAAAAAAUGAACGAACAACAAAUAUGUAACACAUAAACAAGCGACAACCACUAAAUUACAGGCUUCUGAUUUGGGAUAGGCACAUAUAUAAAUAACGUGGCGGGGUUAAACAUCUAAGUAGGAACCCAACCUUCCCCUAUCCUGGGAGAGUGGUAUAACAGUACAGCAUAAGAAAAGUAUACGACUUUUUGUUUAACAGCUAUUUUGAUACAGUUUACUGUAUGUACAAAAUGUUUGUUCACAUCAAUUAUAAUGUAUUGAAUGUCAUAAUGAACUAUAGACUAUAAAUUAAUUCAUGCUUUAUAUUACUCAGUAUAAUAUAUUAAUAAACAUAGCAAUU